rnacentral:rRNA from 1 species
GAUGAACGCUGGCGGCGUGCCUAAUACAUGCAAGUCGAGCGAACAGACGAGGAGCUUGCUCCUCUGACGUUAGCGGCGGACGGGUGAGUAACACGUGGAUAACCUACCUAUAAGACUGGGAUAACUUCGGGAAACCGGAGCUAAUACCGGAUAAUAUAUUGAACCGCAUGGUUCAAUAGUGAAAGACGGUUUUGCUGUCACUUAUAGAUGGAUCCGCGCCGCAUUAGCUAGUUGGUAAGGUAACGGCUUACCAAGGCAACGAUGCGUAACCGACCUGAGAGGGUGAUCGGCCACACUGGAACUGAGACACGGUCCAGACUCCUACGGGAGGCAGCAGUAGGGAAUCUUCCGCAGUAGGCGAAAGCUUGACGGAGCAACGCCGCGUGAGUGAUGAAGGUCUUCGGAUCGUAAAACUCUGUUAUUAGGGAAGAACAAAUGUGUAAGUAACUAUGCACGUCUUGACGGUACCUAAUCAGAAAGCCACGGCUAACUACGUG